rnacentral:lncRNA from 1 species
CAAAAACUAGGACUUUAUCUGUUUAAGUGAAGUCAGGAUGUAAAAGUCUUUUGUACAAACACCUUUUCAUGGUUGGUUAUCAGCAAAACAAAUAAUACUAGAUUUUGAGCAAACAUAGUUAUUUUCUUUCCUGUAUAUUAUUAUCAUUGUUGUUGUUUUGUUAUUGUUUUGUUAUUAUUGUUAUUAUCAUCAUUGUUAUUAUUUAUUAUUAUUUUCUACUGAAAUAAUAAAAGAGUUAUGAAAGAUAAGAUUUUCUGGAAGCUGGAUGCAAAAUAUAAGGCAAUGCUUAAAUAGACAUUCUCUGUCUUAUACCAUGAUCAUGAAGAGAGAAAGUGCCGCCUCUUCUGUUAACAUGUAACUUCAAGACACGAGAUUUUUCAAGGACAGUACACAAGCCCUGAGACAAAACUCAUCCUUUCAAGUGGCUGGUUCUUAAAGACCUCCUAUUAAGAGUACACCCUCUGAAUUACCAAGCUGAAUUUCUCAGCCAGCAAUGAAAAAUAUGAAAAGACGGGUUACCCCAUAUAGCCUCACCUGACUGAGUUCAAAGAAAAUCAAUAUAUCAGGAAUUCAGGUGCAGGUGGAUUAAGCUGAUGACAGCACCACGCAUGGAACUUGGGUGUCACCAGAGGAGUUUUUUGGCAGGCAAACAAUCCGGCUGUGAGCUGCAAGCACCUGCCUGUGCCCCUGCACCCCACCACCAUGCAGUGCAGGUGGAUCUCAUGUGCUGCUUGCACACCAGGAUCCACUACAGCGGCUCCAGAUUUUCCUCCUCCUCCACAGCUGUCACUAGCUUCCAGCAGACAGGUUACAAGGGAAAAGAACAAUACAAACCCAAAACCCAGAUGUUUAGAGCAGACUCUCUGAUGCCUGAAGAACCAAGACUAAAGAGUCAAGACAAAAGUUUUGGCAAGUUCAUCCCAGGUCACUGUUUGCCUUGGGAAAAGUGA